AACCCGGGGAACUGAAACAUCUAAGUACCCGGAGGAAAAGAAAUCAAACGAGAUGCCCACAGUAGCGGCGAGCGAAGAGGGCAGAGCCCAAACCUGUAAGCUACGGCUUAUGGGGGUUGAGGACUGACGUAAUUAAGGCCAGGCUUAGCUGAACUACCUGGGAAGGUAGGCGAUAAAAGGUAAGAGCCCUGUAAGCGAAAGGCAGAGCCUUAAGGUCAGUAUCCAGAGUACCACGGAGCACGAGGAAUUCUGUGGGAAGCAGGGGGGACCACCCUCCAAGGCUAAAGACUAACUGGCGACCGAUAGCGCAUAGUACCGUGAGGGAAAGGUGAAAAGAACCCCGGGAGGGGAGUGAAAUAGUACCUGAAACCGUAUGUCUACAAGCAGUCGGAGCGAAAGCGACGGCGUGCCUAUUGAAGAAUGAACCAACGAGUUAUCUGCACUAGCGAGGUUAAGUGGAAGACACGGAGCCGUAGCGAAAGCGAGUCUGAAAAGGGCGGCGAGUUAGUGUAGGUAGACCCGAAACCGCAGUGAUCUACCCAUGUCCAGGUUGAAGCGCAGGUAAAAAUGCGUGGAGGACCGAACCGGUGAGCGUUGAAAAGCUUUCGGAUGAGAUGUGGGUAGGGGUGAAAUUCCAAUCGAACGCGGAGAUAGCUGGUUCUCCCCGAAAUAGCUUUAGGGCUAGCCUCAGGUAGUAAGUAUAGGCGGUAGAGCACUGAUCGGGCUAGGGGCCAUAAAGGUUACCGAACCCUGUCAAACUCCGAAUGGAUAUACUGCAGAGCCUGGGAGUCAGACUACGAGUGAUAAGAUCCGUGGUCAAAAGGGAAACAGCCCAGACCACCGGCUAAGGUCCCAAAUGCCGUACUAAGUGGAAAAGGAUGUGGGGAUUCAUAAACAACCAGGAUGUUGGCUCAGAAGCAGCCACCAUUUAAAGAGUGCGUAAUAGCUCACUGGUCGAGAGUCCCUGCGCCGAAAAUUUCCGGGGCUAAAGUACGGAACCGAAGCCGUGGCUGUGUACGUAAGUGCACGGGGUAGGGGAGCGUUGCCACAGGGGUGAAGCUGGUCUGGAAGGACUGGUGGACUUGUGGGAAGUGAGAAUGUUGGUAUGAGUAGCGAAAAGAAAGGUGAGAAUCCUUUCCACCGAAAGCAUAAGGAUUCCUGAGCAACGAUCGUCGUCUCAGGGUAAGUCGGGACCUAAUCCGAGGCAAAGAGCGUAGGAGAUGGACAACAGGUUGAUAUUCCUGUACCGGCAGUAAUUGUUUGAGCAAAGGAGUGACACAGAAGGGCAGGCAGGCGCGAGACUGGAUUGUCGCGUGCAAGCGUGUAGGGUAGUGUACAGGCAAAUCCGUACACUGAGAGCCUGAGGCGUUACGCGGAGCGAGCAGAGAUGCGAGCGAAGCUGCUGAUCCCACACUGUCGAGAAAAGCUUCUAGUGAGAGAGCUGCCGCCCGUACCGUAAACCGACACAGGUAUGCGGGGAGAGAAUCCUAAGGUGCGCGGGAGAACCCUCGUUAAGGAACUCGGCAAAAUGUACCCGUAACUUCGGGAUAAGGGUAGCCGUCUUGGUGAAAGAGCUUGCCUCUGGAGCUGAAGGCGGUCGCAGAGAAGAGGCCCAAGCGACUGUUUACCACAAACACAGGUGCCUGCUAAAGCGAAAGCUGACGUAUAGGUGCUGACACCUGCCCAGUGCUGGAAGGUUAAGGAAGGAUGUCCGGGCAACCAAAGCAUUCGACCGAAGCCCCAGUGAACGGCGGCCGUAACUAUAACGGUCCUAAGGUAGCGAAAUUCCUUGUCGGGUAAGUUCCGACCCGCACGAAAGGUGUAACGAUUUGGGCACUGUCUCAACGAGGGACCCGGUGAAAUUGAAAUACCUGUGAAGAUGCAGGUUACCCGCGACUGGACAGAAAGACCCCAUGGAGCUUUACUGUAACCUGACAUUGGGUUUUGUUGUAUUACGUACAGGAUAGGUGGGAGGCUUGGAAGGCUGGACGCUAGUCUGGCUGGAGCCGGCGUUGGGAUACCACCCUUGAUACAACGGAAUUCUAACCGAGAGAGUAACGAAAUCCGGGACAGUGUCAGGCGGGCAGUUUGACUGGGGCGGUCGCCUCCGAAAGAGUAACGGAGGCGCCCAAAGGUUCCCUCAGCGCGGCCGGAAAUCGCGCGAAGAGUGUAAAGGCAGAAGGGAGCUUGACUGCGAGCCAAACACGGCGAGCAGGUACGAAAGUAGGGCUUAGUGAUCCGGUGGUACCGAGUGGAAGGGCCAUCGCUC
rnacentral:rRNA from 1 species